UUAUCUGUGAUGAGAAAGCUAACACGUAAGAAGAGAGUAGUCCUUUGUGGUGUCUUUCUUCAAUGAAAUACCUUUGUUACGCUUGGCUUCUGAGAUAC
rfam:Brassica napus, WGS project CCCW01000000 data, contig: 23776